GUGUCUAUUAUCAUUAUAGUAAUAAUCAGUAUUAGAGAUAAAUUACAAGAGUUAUUUUGCAAGUGUGAAGCAAUAGCAGGAUGCAAAAAUUACAUCUGCUAAUGAUUUGUAUAUGAUACACACUAAUUUAUCGUUGAGGGCUUCAGCUUUAAAAUUUUGAGUAUGUGAUACCUUAUAUAAGUUCUACUUAUGCAAUGUAUUGUCCAACCUAUAAAGCUGAAGAUAGGUAACUACAUACUUUUCGCACUGAUAGAUAGUCUGAAGGGAAGGAAACAGUUUUCCUCCAGAAUGCCCAGGUUGCAUCUAAAAUUUUUUCUAAUAUUUUACUUAUUUAAGGAUCAAAUCUUUACCUGAAUUAUAGUGGAACCAGGAAUUAAAUCUCAAAUUAUCUGAUAUAAAUCUUUGUGGAGGCUUGGAUAUACAUACCCUCUACUUCACAUGCACGUCA
rnacentral:lncRNA from 1 species